GUUCACUGAAUAGCAAGACCUGUCCAAAGUGCCCUAACCAGGGGCUGUAGGCAAAAGGAUGCCCCACGAUAAUGGGAAUGAACAGGCAAGUGCUUGCUGGGGGACCAUUCUUCCCAGCCAGGAGGAGGGGGCUGCUGGGGAGGGACUUUCUCCCUGAUUCUCGGGUUGUGGGUGGAGCUUCCGUGCUGACCACCACGCUGGGGGACUGGUCUUGUCCCUGAGAGCUGGGGGAAUAAUACAAAUUGG
rnacentral:lncRNA from 1 species